rnacentral:rRNA from 1 species
AGUGAACGCUGGCGGCAGGCCUAACACAUGCAAGUCGAGCGGCAGCGCGGGGGCAACCCUGGCGGCGAGCGGCGGACGGGUGAGGAAUUCGUCGGAAUCUGCCUUUUUGUGGGGGAUAACGUAGGAAAACUUACGCUAAUACCGCAUACGUCCUACGGGAGAAAGUGGGGGACCGCAAGGCCUCACGCAGAAAGAUGAGCCGACGACCGAUUAGCUAGUUGGUGGGGUAAAGGCCCACCAAGGCGACGAUCGGUAGCUGGUCUGAGAGGAUGAUCAGCCACACUGGGACUGAGACACGGCCCAGACUCCUACGGGAGGCAGCAGUGGGGAAUAUUUGACAAUGGGCGCAAGCCUGAUCCAGCCAUGCCGCGUGUGUGAAGAAGGCCUUCGGGCUGUAAAGCACUUUUGUCCGGAAAGAAAUCCCUGGAGCUAAUACCUUCGGGGGAUGACGGUACCGGAAGAAUAAGCACCGGCUAACUUCGUG